ensembl:lncRNA
GCUCACACCGCAGCGCUGCGGGAGAAAGGCGAGCGGGAAGCUGACGGUGCGCAGUGCAAAUCGCGGUUUCCCUGCAGGAAGAGCUGAGUCCCCGCACACCGCACACCGCACACCGCACACCGCACACCGCCGCUCAGCCACGGGGAGGAGUGGGAGUUUGCUCGGGGGCUGCUUUACAGCUGCGCUAAGAGCGGCUCGGAGCGGUUCUGUGCUGGGCACUGCGGUGCAUACACCGACCUUCCAUUCCUCCAAGCAUGGCUGCUUCAUCCGAAUCAUGGAGCCACUGCUCAUCGGCGGAUUAAUGACUAUUUCCAGCAAACAAUGCUUUGAAAAGACGCUCCUAAAGGCAAAGCAAAGAUUGGCAGAAACGCUCACAGCAGCUUAGCACGGAGCUGCCUCAAUGUCUGCCCAAUGCCCAGCCUGGCUCAGCAGUGAGCUCUGGGCAGGGUUUGAGCACGGAGCUGUGGGUGCCUGGAUGAGCUGUGAGGCACAACAUGAGCAAAGCCAUAGCAAAGAGCACUGUGAGCAGAGGAGUACAUUGGACUGAGAGUACCCACCUCUGCCGGGAUCCACACAACUUCAUCUCUCCGAGCAGCACAGCCCCCAGUGUUGGACGGAUGGCCCCAAAACCUCUGAGGUGGUGGCACAGAUCCAUCAGCAUGUGGAACACAGGACCGCAGCGUGGGCUGGCAGCGCCAGGAUUGCACUCUGUGAGCAGCAGUGAUUAUUUCGGAUUUCUGCUAUGAUUACAGACUUCAAAUACGCUGUAAAAGGAACCCGUAUACAACCCUUCAAAAUCACUUAAGUGGGCCAAUGACAGAAGUACCAGCCCUGCAAGUACAUACAGAGCACUGCGGAAAUCAUCCCCGGUGUUUAUUUAUGAGCCACUUUUAAUUAUUCAGCGGGAAUGAAUGAAAGAGGUGGAAAAUGGGAAGCGACAGAGGGCUUUGCAUUGAGUUACAGCUCGUGGAGAGCAAAGGGAGAGAUCACGGCGCUUUCAAGUCGCGAUGGUUGGAGGGUAUAAUUACACCCUGCUGCUUUAUGGGCCAAACCUCAGAGAAUUCAAUGGCAAACUGUGUUUCAGAGAGCGUGAGGAGCCCUCAGAAGGCUUCACACAGCACUGAGGAAGAGCAGAAUGCUUCACAUAGGCAGCAGCAGGCAUGGCAGAGCCCUGGGCUCAGCAAGGUCACCUGUCUGAAGGGGAGCUGCACGGACAGCAGUGCGAGUUCUGCUUGGCACGUCUGCAGGGAGCAGAUAUGGAGAAGGAGAAGUGCUGCGAUGCCACGUGGUUAGCUGAAAAGUGUUUUCUCUGCAGCUCCCACAGGAAAGGCCCAUGACUGAGAAAGAACAUGGUGUUCGUUCAUUGGGACAAGCUGAUCUUCAAGCUGAUUUGUGUUAAUUUGGAAAGUGAGAUCUUUUUUUUGUUGUUGUUGUUCCCCCUUUCUUUUUCCAGGAAAAAUGGAGCUGUCUGGUUUUGAUCACUUGGUGUGCUCAGCACCAAAGCCCUCAGAGUAAAUAUCUCCUAUGAAGGACAUUAAGGACCAACUCAUGGGGAGCAGCAGCAGGAAAACACUGCCAUAAACCCAAUACACAUCACGGUGCAUUCGUUUGUUACUUGGCACUGUAGCCGGGGCAGGGAAAACAUAGGAAGGCAUGGAGCAGAAUGGUGCCUCGGGGUGAUGAGUACAGCUGGGGCAGUGUGAUUAGCCCCAAGUGGCAGAGUCCUCCAUGCGCCCUGCAAGGCAGCUGAUGGCUCUGUGCUCCCUUUCCUGCUGGCUAUGGGAGGAAGGAGGGGAUGACCGGGCACGGUGCAAGCCAGCCUUGCUUUCCAUUCGAAUCCUAGAACCGUAGCCAAAGAAAACAAAGAAAUAGAAAAAGAAAGACGACGCACGGCAGCGUGCUGCUGCUGGAGGAAGGCCGAUAAGGCGGCAGCUGCUGCUCUUCCUCUGGGCUGCCCAGCAGAAAGCUGAAGGCAGCGCCGCCCGGCUCCUCACCCCAGCGCCGGGGAACGGCUUUAAGGAGCCGUGAUGCUCAGCGGGCUGAUAGGCAGAGCGGACGGCAGACCUUCCAGCUUCCUUCUGCCUUCCGAGCACACUCUGCCCAUUGGGCCCCGCUGUAGUGUCACCUCGGGGAUCUCUGUGGUGUUAAAGCGAACUUCUGCACAAGAGCGAGCAACUCCCGUUUGCACCCCCGCCGGUAUUUCUUCCCCAGAAGUGAACUUGCUGCUCUUCGCCGCGAGAUGGAGCCUUCAGAUCGAGCCCUUUCCCUUAGGGUUGGUGGUUGUCUAAAGCAAUUAAGCCUCAUUUAGAGAUCGCACGUGUUUAGUUUUCUCAGAUUACUAUCUGUGGGUCUUUAUUAUUUUUUUUUGUUAAUGAAUCAUAUUUUUCAUCAUCUCUCUCUCUUUUAUCUGAUACGAGGAAACUGCAAAGGCUGCCAGAAUGGGUGCUGCUCCAGCCCAGCUCUGCAGAGGAGGACAGUGAACAAUGCAGCUCUUCUUCCUGGAGAAGCAUCACUCACAGCAUCACAGAAUGGUUGGGUUGGAAGGAACCUCAAGGACCACGAAGCUCCAACACUCCUGCUGCAGGCAGGGCCACCAACCUCCACACUCCAUACCAGCCCAGGCUGCCCAGGGCCCCAUCCAACCUGGCCUUGAACACCUGCAGGGAUGGAUGGGGCAUCCACAGCCCCUCUGGCAGCUGUUCCAGCACCUCACCACUCUCAUAGUAAAGAACUUCCCCUCUGACAUCCAACCUAAAUCUUCCCUCCUUCAACGUUAAACCGUUUCCCCUUGUCCUGCUCGAUGCAUUGCUCGAUGCCACACCACAGGGACAAAGCAGCUGCAGAAAGUGUGUGUUGUGCAAAAGCUGGGGCACGAGUGGGGGCUAAAAGGGACACCUGGAUGGCAGCAUGCUGUCCUUCUCUCUGUUCACCUUCUAGCUCAAUUCUACUUCUGAAAUCUGCCCCCAUUCCAUAUCCUACUGUUCUUCCUGAAGGGCAACGGAAAAGGAUGGCUCUGCUCUUUGGCACCAGCAGAGCUGCUCCUGCCCUGCCUGCUGUGCACCCAUCUGCCACGCUCCUCCCCGGCCUCUGCCCACAGCCACGUCCCCAAAUACCCCGAGAUCUCACUUCCCUUUGGUUUCACUGCCUUUCAGCCCCGAGGGACCAAAUGUUUUGUUUUGCUCUGUGCGUUUCCACGUUCAUCUUUCAUCUUCUGUUUGAAGCUAUUGUGAAGAAGCUGCGAAAAGCAAUGUGGCCCUGGUGCUCCUCUGAUGGCACUCGGGCUCUGGAGAGGUGUCUGAAAGCUGACAGCAGAGCUCUGUGCUGCUGGGAGGAACCAACUUCUGCGUUUGGGCACCCCACUCUGUGGGGAUUGGGGCCAGGACGGGUUGGAGCAGAACCCCAAAGUCUGAAUGCAAUUCAGUGUUUGCCAGAAGGCAGGGACUGAUAAGGCCUGCUGGGCUCUCAGUGCACCUCUUUAGGCACAUAGUGACAAGGAAAAGGUUCAGCUCAGCGAGGAGCAGGCAGUGGCCACUGCUCUGCUGCCUCUGCCCUGUGUGGGCAGCCCUGCCCCGUGAAGCCCUUCCCUUCCCAGACUUAAAACCAACGCCCUCCUGAGUGCCUUCCUGUACCAGCUCCUUUCUGCUCUCUCUCUCUCUCUAUUUUCUGGGGUCACAGCAAAGAGCAGCACUGGGGCAGCACCCAUGGGACCAUAAUGUGUUUGUAGCACACGGACAGACACACGCAGAGCAUUGCUGCUGAGUUCACUGCAGGUCCUCUGGUGCUGCUGUCAAACCUUCAUUUUCAGGUGUUGGAAAUCAUUUGUUUCCCUUCAUCUGUUUUCUGUCCGCAGAUGGUGCUUCCUCUGUAGGUGAUGGACUCGAGGUGACAGUGAUGGCUCAGUGCUUCCUCAUAUAAGCAGAGCUCCAGAACCACCCUCAGCACAGUGCUGCGCAAUGGCUGCAAUGCUUCGCAGAGGAUCAGUGUGUGUAUGUAAAUGGCAGAAUGUUCUCAAGCAGCACUGGAUUUUGCAUUUUAGCAAGGAUUUCCUUCCCAACUCCUCCUUCCUCAGUGCUGCUCAGUACCUCUUUCCCACUCCUGCCCCUUGUUCUUCCCUGCCCAGCUCUUUGCCCUGCAUGGCACGUUCCAGCCCCUCCUUUCUUGCUGAUCUCUGUGAUUAAAAGGUGGUGAGCAACACGGUUAUGAAAGCAAUGAUCUGUGCUGUAUCUUCAGAGGAAUGUCCACCUGCACUGUCUGCAGGAUGGAAACCAGCAGGGAGGCUGCUCCUUACCCUUCUGGCGCAAUGAUUGAACAGAUACUGCCCUCAGUUAAUAACAAUUCCCAAUAACUCUUGAAAUGAAGCAGACACAGCUCUGCUAAUUAAGGUGAAAAAGCAGCUCAUCCAAAUAACUUUCCUCAGAAAGCACGUCCAAUGACACUUCUAUCUGUUACGCUGUGUGUAGUUAUUAUCCCCAGUAGGUUAUACAGGAUGCAAGUGGGAGAAUUUCUGAUGCUCUCAUUAAUUUUGGUGGCAACUUUCUGUACUGGGAAUCAUCAUUCACCUCCACCCAUUGGAAGCAGUUGAAUUUCAGGAAGGUGGCAGUGCACACAUGGCACAGGGUUAAAUUUGGGUUAAAGACAGCAUCAUCUCCAGGCCUCUGGCAAAUGAGGCGGAGUAAGCAGGACACAGCAGGGGAGAUCAGGUCCUUCACAAAUGGGAAUAUUCACUUGGGAAGAAGUAGGAGAAAAUAACCUAGAAAUAAGGUCACUGGUCUCCAGACAGCCCCAUGGGAAAGCCAAGUAGUGCUGAGAGUAAUUUUCCUGCUUAGUGUGGCAGGCGUGUGGGCACACAUCAUAGGGAAGUGAGAGCAAUACAGGCUUUGGACAAUACUAGAAACCCCAAGAGACCACGAAGAGCCCUUAACCCUUUGGGUAAACGGUCCCAUGUGAACACCCAGCACAUUAACUUAUUGUUGCACGAGGCUGGGAAAUGGUUUGGAUCUUAGUUUAUGUGAGCAUUACCAAAGAAUAAAACAUUGCAACAUAUCUGUCAGGAACUGUAUUUCUCUGUGCUACAAUCCUUGAAGAAGAGGAAGUAAACACACUGCUGGCUCUGCACGACUCUUCCUGUAGGGCAACUGCAUUGUCAUCCCCAGGAAAUGCAACACCAAGCCCUGAAAUGAUCUGCACUGUAAAGGGCUGCUACAAUUCUGAGAGCUGUUAAAUUGCAGAGGAACAGAGCUGUGUUUGAUUGGGCAGAACGGUCAGGUUCCUGGGAACCCUUCAUCCUCAGCUGUAUGGUGGAAGAAGAGUGGGGAGUCAGAAACAGGGCAUGGGGAACGUGGCCUCCUCCAUAUCACUGCAGCCGGGUGAGAUGAGGUUAUGGAGGAAAAGGCCAUGGUGUCACGGAGCAGAGCCACAGUUCCCCCCUGUCCCAAAGCUGUUCCCACCACUCCCCAGGGCUCUGCCUGAGCUUGAAUCUCAACACUGGUUGGGGUGUGAAUGUCCCAGUCAGACCAUAGGGAACUGUGGCUUUGUCGGUUUGUAGGUUUGGGUCUGUUGGUUGGUUUGGGUUUAUUUGUGGUGGCGUUGUCACUGUUUUGCAUUACUGAGUGCAUGAACCAGAAACUCAGAGUGUUUUACUCAGUCACCUGGGGAUUACAGCAGAUUCCAGGCUGACCAUGAGCCAAUAGCAUGCUUUUGUCUCAGACAGAGAAAACCACACGUUGGCUUACAGUAGGAUGAGGGAAACCAUUACCGCCUUCUACUCUGUGAGGCCUUUCAUUCAGCUUUGCUGCAGCUGCUGCUGGGCCAAGGACAUCAAGACACCACGUGUGGGGCCAGGAAGAAGAAAUGUGUGCAAUGGACACCUACUGUGGCUUGGGAAACCCAACUGAACAUUAGGAAUAUAAAGAUCAGUAGGGAGGUUUGGCGGUGGGUUGAGUAGUAUGGUUAGGUGGAGGUUGCAUGGUCUUGAAGGUCUCUUCCAACCUGAGCAAUUUGAUGAUCCGAUGAUAAGGCGGUGUAGUACUGGAACAGGUCACUGAGGCCAGUUGGAGACUCCCCAUCCUUAGGGAUUUUCAAGACUCAGCUGCACAAAACCCCACUGAACACUGAUGGAAGCUCUUCCUUGGGUGGGAGGUUGGACGAGACGCCCAACAGAAUUCCUCUCCACCAAACAUUUCCAUAUUUCUAUGACCUUAAAUUCAGGCAAAUGCACGUGCCCUUAGCACAAGUGUGUAAGAUUUCGAUGUAUUUCUAACUGCUUUCAGAUCCAGGGAGUUUCACACGAAAGUGCAACAGAAAAAAGUGUGCAGCUUUAAAGCAUUUCUUAAUCCCACCCCUUUAGAAUCUGAGUGCUGUUUACUCUGCUGUCUGCUGGAGAUCCAACACGUUCAAAAAUAGCAUGGCAUGGGGUCCCAUCAAAGCCUUCUAACAUCACCAGGUGUCUCCUCAGCAUGAAAACAAAUUCUUUGAAGAGAUUGCUUGGAAGAGGAAAAUAAAGUACCGCAAGUGAGCUCCUGUGCUGUGAUGUGGUAUCGGAUGUACAGAAAACAUCUGCAGUAAAACUCGUCUGCAAAAGUGAGGCAGGCAGAUUUCCCCUCUGUGUACAUGAAGAGCCACCUUUUCUGAAUUAAUAAUAAUAAAAACAAGGAUAAU